rnacentral:lncRNA from 1 species
CGAAAAAGGCCUUCAUGAUGGGCACACAGUAAGAAACAGAUUUUUUAAAAAGAUAAAUUAAAAUGACAUUUCAUUGAACAGGGGGCAGAAGGCUCCCGGAAUCUGCUGUCUGUAAGACCCAUGGUUAGGGUUUGGGGGAAGAGACGAGCAAAAUCUACUCUAUUCCAUAUUCUCCGGCUAGAGGGCUCCCUGGCACUACACUAAGUCCCUGGAUGAAAUGGAACUGGUCACUGCUACUGAGGAGGAAACAGAUGUUCAGAACCAAAACAAAGGUAGGGCUUGAAUGAAAUGAGAUUAAGAAAAUGAUUAUGGUUUCCUCUUUCCACUCCUGAGCAUGGUUAACUGUGGAAGGGGCAAAGACACUGUUAUGAGUGAGCCACUAUUUCAAAGGGAAGGGGGUGGGACAGGGAGACAUGGAUAUCGAGACCAAUUAAUAUCUGCAAAAUGAAAAACGGAAACAAAAAAACAAACACAUGGAAGCGAAGGCACUCCAAACUAUAUAGAUACACUAUACAUUGCUAGAGUUAUUGUUACAAUAAUACAGGCCGGUACCUACUGUACAGAGUUAAAACUAUAUGGCUUUAAAAAGCUCGUCUACAAUUUGUCUGAUUAUUAAACAGAAUCACUGCCCUGAACAGUAACUUUUUGCUCAUUAAUAACAGUUCCUGGGUCCACAUAUUUACAUACAAAACAAUAGAACUUAAAUUUAAAAACAUUAUUCAGAGACCUGGAUCCCACUUGUAUAAAAGAGUU